CCUACGGGAGGCAGCAGUAGGGAAUCUUCCACAAUGGGCGAAAGCCUGAUGGAGCAACGCCGCGUGGGUGAAGAAGGUCUUCGGAUCGUAAAACCCUGUUGUUAGAGAAGAAAGUGCGUGAGAGUAACUGUUCACGUUUCGACGGUAUCUAACCAGAAAGCCACGGCUAACUACGUGCCAGCAGCCGCGGUAAUACGUAGGUGGCAAGCGUUAUCCGGAUUUAUUGGGGGUAAAGGGAACGCAGGCGGUCUUUUAAGUCUGAUGGGAAAGCCUUCGGCUUAACCGGAGUAGUGCAUUGGAAGCUGGGAGACUUGAGUGCAGAAGAGGAGAGUGGAACUCCAUGUGUAGCGGGGAAAUGCGUAGAUAUAUGGAAGAACACCAGUGGCGAAAGCGGCUCUCUGGUCUGUAACUGACGCUGAGGUUCGAAAGCGUGGGUAGCAAACAGGAUUAGAUACCCCAGUAGUC
rnacentral:rRNA from 1 species